UGAAACCUCUCCUUAAGUUAGGUGCCAGAACUGAUUCUGAAAUUGUCACAAAGUCAGAGUGACAACGGAAAGGUCCCAGUGGGACCUCUGUUGGUGCUUACAGUAUGAGUGUGACUGGAGCUGUGUCUACAAGGAGAGGGAAGCACUUUGUAUUAGGAGCAGAUGUCCGUUUGCCUGUCUCUCCAGGAUUGCUGAGAACCUCUGCCUGCCUUCUGGAUCCGUCUGUGGGGCAGAUAUAUCCAGGUCGUCCUGGGAGACCACUCCCAAAGCUGAUGUUGGGUCCGUAAGGAGAGACAGCACCAGGUCCCCCAGGCAGUAGAUGCUACUGGAAUCCAGCUGGCCUCAUACUGGCUACAGCUAAUUCACCUCCAUUUUGCCUCUACUGUAGUGGUCUCUGGAAUCUUCCAGGAUUGGAACAAGUGACUGAAGCUGCCUUCUGUCUUGGAGCCACAUUCAUCCAGGAGCCCUGAGCAAGGAGUAGCAACCUGGGCAGGGCUCUAGGCCUGCUGCUCCGGGAAGACGUGGUCUUAUCUUCAUUUUUUUUGUCCCAGCCUUGGAGAGACAGACUCAUGAGCCCACGUUGCUCCCAAUCUGGAAAUCC
rnacentral:lncRNA from 1 species